UCUCUCUCUCUACCUUCUGCUCCCUCCUCUCUACCUCCUCCUUCUCUCUCUACCUACUUCCCUCUCUCUACCUUCUGCUCCCUCCUCUCUACCUCCUCCUUCUCUCUCUCUUCCUCCUACUUCUUCCUCUGUUUCUGUCUCUCUACCAUCAAAAAAAAGUAAAAUUAAAGAAAACACAGAACACAGAAAGUGUUUCCGUACGAACGUGUUUUGGACAGAAGAGUUGUAAAAGGAAAAGAAGAAGUGAAACUUGCUUGGAAACCUUGCACCACAUGCAGUGGCAAAGUGUGGGAUGACACCUGGGAGCCAGCUGUACAGUAUACAGAGCCAAAAACCAGCCCACAAUAAAAUACUCAAC